ACCUCGCUUACCUUCGGGCUCAUGUAAUGUGAUUUCAUCUUUGCCUAUGUUGAUCGUACGAAAGCGUCUUUCAUUUGAGAGGUAUUGAAGUUGAAAGUUAUCUUUCGGUCUUUCAGGAACCUGAAAAGUAGCAACACAAGAAAAAUUCAUAUCUUGGUUAGUGGAAACAUUCCUCACUACCCUUUCCAUGUCUUUUUCUUUUGUUUCUUUUUCGAACUCAUUUUCUCUUCUUUCUUC
rnacentral:lncRNA from 1 species